CCCCAGUCCCCGACCCUUUCAGUCUGCUUCUCGUCUCCCAGUCUCUCUGUCUCUCCCUCCGACCCACACAAACAUCAACCCCAACCCCCCCCCCCCCAACACACACCACACCGAUCUCGAGCUGCUGCCUGCUGUGCUCCUUCUCCUAUUCGCUGUGCCGUCGCCUGGUCUUCUUCUGGUAGUCACCUUUUGCGCUGCCCCAUUGCUCCGGCGUCGCCCCAGCUGCUCAGUCAGAGCCUCUCUCUGGCCCAAGCUGCCGCACCUGUGACAAAAGAAGAGCUUGGGAGGGCCACCUAGACUUUUCUUCACACACUAGCUGCCCAGUACCCAGACAAUCCAAGCAGACAGCAAAAGAAAGAUGUAAAAGAUUUGAUGGCUAUCCUAUCUCGAUUAUACCCUUGCCAGGAAUGUGCCGAUCAUUUUAAAGAAGUGCUGAGAGCAAAUCCAGUGCAGGCAGGAUCUCAUGCUGAGUUCUCACAGUGGUUAUGUCAUGUACACAACGUUGUUAACCGAAGCCUCGGGAAAUUGGUGUUUCCUUGCGAGCGACUUGAUGCAAGAUGGGGAAAGCUGGAGUGUGAGAAUCGAGCUUGUGAUGAUGUACAAGGAACCCUAACAAAAUUCGGCUAAUGAAAUUUAAUGUACUACAUUUUCAUAUGAUGGAACUUAGCAUGAAAUCAAUUACUUAGUCGGUGAUCCACUGUGCUAUUGGAGAUAUUCUUAACAGAUAUCAUCAUAAAGACACUAAUGACAUACAAUGUGAUGAUCAGAUGGAGAAAAUUUGCUCAGCGA